UUCGUUAUGGUCUAGUGGUUAGGAUCACCCGCUCUCAUCACCAGAGCUUGCCAUUGCUGCACCGGGUAGGCCCGGGUUCCAUUCCCGGUAACGGAA